GAUGACUCUGAAUAACUCAGCAGAUCGCACGGUCUAGUGCCGGCGACAUUUCCUUCGAGUGUCUACCUUAUCAACUGUCGAUGGUAGUUUAUGUGACUACCAUGGUGGUAACGGGUAACGGAGAAUCAGGGUUUGACUCCGGAGAGGGAGCCUGAGAAACGGCUACCACUUCC
rnacentral:rRNA from 1 species